GUUCAGGGAUGGGAAUCGAACCCACAGUGUUCCGUUUACCGGAUAGAUGCCAUGUCCACUAGGCUACCCUGGA
rnacentral:tRNA from 1 species